GACGUAGGAGGCGAGCGUUGUCCGGAUUCAUUGGGCGGAAAGAGCGCGCAGGCGGUUUGGUAAGGCGGAUGUGAAAUCCCGGAGCUCAACUCCGGACCUGCAUCCGAUACUGCCCGACUAGAGGUAGGUAGGGGAGAUCGGAAUUCCUGGUGUAGCGGUGAAAUGCGCAGAUAUCAGGAAGAACACCCGUGGCGAAAGCGGCUCUCUGGAACGGUACUGACGCUGAGACGCGAAAGCGUGGGGAGCGAACAGG
rnacentral:rRNA from 1 species